UUGGGAAUAUUGGACAAUGGGGGAAACCCUGAUCCAGCCAUGCCGCGUGAGUGAUGAAGGCCUUCGGGUCGUAAAGCCCUUUUGGUGGGGACGAUAAUGACGGUACCCACAGAAUAAGCUCCGGCUAACUUCGUGCCAGCAGCCGCGGUAAUACGAAGGGAGCUAGCGUUGUUCGGAGUUACUGGGCGUAAAGGGCGCGUAGGCGGUUCGGCAAGUCUGAUGUGAAAGCCCUGGGCUCAACCCAGGGACUGCGUUUGAGACUGCCGUACUUGAGUUCGGGAGAGGUGAGUGGAAUUCCCAGUGUAGCGGUGAAAUGCGUAGAGAUUGGGAGGAACACCAGUGGCGAAGGCGGCUCACUGGACCGACAUUGACGCUGAGGCGCGAAAGCGUGGGGAGCAAACA
rnacentral:rRNA from 1 species